UGUGUCAUGCAGCUGCUAUGGGGGGAUGGAGGAGGAGUGGCAUUGGCAAUUCAAGACUGCCUUUCCUACCCUUUUCAGUGCCUCUUUCAGUGAUACGAAGCUAAAACCAGAUACUGCUUUCAUAGUACUUUUCUGACCACGGUUUUCUGGAGUUUUUUCGUAUGGAGUUUGUAAGCUUCCUGACAUGGAUUAUAACUGUACUUGAUGGAGCACAGUUAUAAUAGCUGCUUUAGAGUCCUUGAUAAUUCCCACAUCUGAGUCAUCUCAAGUUAUUUUUGGCAGAUUUUGAUGGAUGUACAUUGAUGGAUAGCCACGUGGAUCCAGAAAAUAAAGACUUCUACUCUGCAUUUGACUAAAGCAGAAGAUAUGCAAGGAAGCUCAGUCUCUCAAUUGAGUGGAUUCUGAAAUUUAUCCUGUUGUCUUCAGCUACUAAGGCUAAUUUGCAAAUCACACUGUGCACGGUUUUAUCUCUCCCAAUAAAUACAAUAUUCUACAUCCUCUGUUGUACUCAGAAUUUGGAAAUUAACCCCAGUAUGCUGAUUAAUAGUCAUAACUAUAUCUAGAUAACAAAAUAUGCAUAUAUAUGAAGGAGGCAGACAAUAGGGGAGGGCAGGUUGAAAGUUUUUU
rnacentral:lncRNA from 1 species